GUGACGACGGUUUUGUGAUUGGAAAUGUUCAAUCCCUUUUGCUGCUGAGUACCACCACCCUUGGAGAUUUGGUUGCUCUGUAAAUAUGGAUACACAAAAUCAGUAUGUACCACGGGACCACGGGAAACACAUUAGAGGAUAAAACUCUGUUUGAAUAGUUUAAAUCAGGUUUAAAUGAAAGAACUUACAAUAGUGACCUUUUUCUGCUGCUGAAUGUUGCUGCUUUUCUGGUUUCCACCGCCGCUUGUUUUGUUGCCAGUACUCUUCACAGAUUUGAAGGCCCGCUCUACUUGAUUAAAGAUAGUUAUUUGUUUCAUCCUGGGAAGAGCACGGUCCACAACGCUAGAAUUAAAGGAAAACCCAUUGUGAAUGGCGCCAUUUAAAAUUGACGACAGAAUGUUUCUGCUUCAAUGUAGAUCUGACGCGGGUUUCUCGACCGAUGGACAUGGGCAGUCGGUACAUCGCCAGCCUUAAGGGCGAUCUGGUGAAUCACUUUGUCAUCGAUUUGCUCCUUCCCCGACCGCAACCAUGCCAUGAUCCGAC